UGUUGGUUCAGACAGUGCAGGUUUGCUGGGGGAAAGGAGUUUUGCAGGGAAUCUCAUUCGUGGCUGAAGUUCACCAGGAAUUGUCAGAGGUUCUCGUCACUGCAGGAAUUUAUAACUGCAUAAACAUGAAUGGGAUUAUUUUCCACAGCCAUGGAUCACUGAGCCACUUUCAGAUUAAUUUGAAGCCUUUGAUGAAGACAGAAGACUGUGAUGCCCUAAUCCAGACACCAAGCACAGCCUGUUGUCCAGAGCACUUUUUUAGGAGAGCUGUAUUUAAGGCCAUGGAAAUGAGAAGGUCCUGAG